UACGGAGGGUGCUAGCGUUAAUCGGAAUCACUGGGCGUAAAGCGCGCGUAGGCCGCUUCUUAAGUCGGACGUGAAAGCCCUCGGCUCAACCGGGGAACUGCGUUCGAUACUGGGAGGCUUGAGUCCUGGAGAGGGUGGCGGAAUUCCGGGUGUAGGAGUGAAAUCCGUAGAUAUCCGGAGGAACACCGGUGGCGAAGGCGGCCACCUGGACAGGUACUGACGCUGAGGCGCGAAAGCGUGGGGAGCAAACAGG
rnacentral:rRNA from 1 species